ACCCCCAGGGCCAAGACCCACCCACAGGAAAACAUCCCCUCAGAAACAGACAAUCCUCUUCUCAUCUUCAAAGACCUUGGCCUCCUCUGGUUUUAUCAAGUUUCCAUUUAAGCUGUUGGAGAAAAAGAACACAAGCUUGGGGCCUGGCCCUCUUCCCCAGAAGAACCUCAUCUAUCCCUGGCCUCAUCUGUAUGUCAGUGACCUGGGCGAGACCUCUUUACUCCGGCGCCUCUUACCUGCUUGACAUCUUCAUCUGGAUGCCUCCCAGCACCUGGCACUCAAGCACUCAUUUGUUAUAAAACAAAUUAAGAUGCAGUGCUUUCCCUGGGGACUCUGCAGUGACCUUGACAGAGGCCCUACCCUCAAGGAGUCUGGAGGAGACAGCCUCACAGAAAGCUCUUACAAUGGAGUGUGGGUUCACUCCUCUCCUCUGGCUUUUUGUAGAUAAAGGCUACAAAUGCACUUGACCUAUCCAAGAAGGCAGCUGUAUGAGGAAGAUGAAGGCCUGAAUUACCAUGACUGAUGAGAUUUCAGAAAUUAAGCCAGUCCCUUAGAAGGAAGCAGUAUAGCAUGGUUAAAAGCUCUCCUCACAUACAAUUACACCUACUCCCCACCUUCCAGCUAUAGAUCCUUGAAGAAGCUCUCUGUUCUUUGGUUGCCUGACCUAUAACAUGAGAAUAAUAACUGUAAGAGAACCCACAAGCCUGAGUGUGUGAGUUUCAAUAGGAGGAUGGGUAUGAAGUAGUUCUCAGUCUCUACCACGGUGCCGAGUACAAGUUCUUGUCACCAUUCCUGCCCAAGCACACAGGACUAGGCAACCAUGCUGUAGCCAGGACCCAGUGAUCGCUGCCACAU